GCCGCCUACCUGCCCCCGGCUUCUCCCCCCCAGCCGGGGAGCCGGGGAGCCAGUUGGAGACCCGGAAUGGAGGUCCCUGGGAGAGACGGAGGGGUGCCUGCGUCCAGGGCGCAGGGGGGCCGAGAUGAGCGGCCCUCUCCGCCAGCAGCAGCAGCAGCAGAAUCUACAGUUCAUAAUGGAGCUACUGUACUGGCUAUCGGAAGGAGGAGAUUCGGAAGAUAGGGAGAUUUGGAUAUCAGGCUUUGAAACUUCCUGUGGUCUGUUCAAUCUAGACACAAAGGACCUGGGACAAUCAAGUGCUCAAGAGGGCUGAAUAAUAUUCCGGUCUGUGGAUGUACCACAGUUUAUCUGCUCAACUAAUGGAGGACAUCUUGGUUGUUACCGAGUUUUGGCAAUUAUGAGUAAAGCUGCUGUAGGUUUUUGUGUGGAUAUAAAUUUUCAACUCCUUUGGGAAAUGAAGUUUUUUCUUCUGGAUACACCAGAUCUUUGAUGAUGCCAGUAAAGAAACAUCCACACCCUUUGGUUAAAAGAUGAAGCAUGAGGCUGUGGUUAUUUUAAUCAAUUACUCCAUGGAAGGUUGAAAGCUGCUAAGCAGAAUGAAUCUCACAACAGAGAGCAGUAGAGCUCAAGAAGGUGUAUGUAACCUUACCAGCAGAUGAGGUCUUGGUGGAUGCUUCCUGAUUAUGGUGUCCUUUUCAUCCUCAAUUUAUAUUCCAAGUUGUUACCUAGAGUAAAUCCCAAUGUUUCUAAUUAAUGAACUGUCGUUGUUUUGAAUGGAAAAGGGAAAAUAUGUUGAUCCCCCUGUAGCAGCACAGGAAAUAUGCCUAAAACGGAAUAUCUUUCACCAUCAUGAAUAACAUUAGUCUUUACAGUUCUCCAGAGUAAAUUAUUAUUAUAUAGUUGGCUUCCUAUUUAUAUAGAUUGGCAGCAUCCUUUGAGUUUCCAGGUGACAGGAAUUCUCUCUAGAAGUCAUUCUUAAGACUAUUGUCAAACUCCUUAAUGAAGAAUUAGAAGCCAAAGUGGCUACGCUGUAUGUACAACCGGUUGGCAACAAGCUGAUCCUCUCCUUUCUGGAUUCUUCAGAGAGGACUGACUGAUAAAGCUAUGAAGAGCUGUUGACCAUGCCAAGUCUGCUGGUGUGAGGGCAAGACUUGCCGUGCCACAGUCUAUCCUGAGCCUGUCUUGUGUAUUUCCAAUUACUUAAGUAUGUGAUCCUUACAUACACCCAUGCCCUCUGAUGAGAUGACAUGGUGAUCAUGAGCGUGAGGAUGUCACAUGCACUGUGCUACAUUCAUUCUCUAAAUAAUCUCAUUUAAUCCAACAACAAUAAUUUGAAUCAGGAAGAAAUGUUAACACUUUGCACAUUUCAAAAUGAGGGCUCAGAUAGCUGAUCUGCUUUGUCCAAGGUCACACAGCUAUUAAAUGGCAAAGUAAGGACCUGAACCUAGUUCUAUCUACUCCCAACUCAAUGCUUUCAACCAUCACCCUCAUCAUCUCCACCAAGAUAGCGACUUUCCUGUGGUACCUACUAGAUGCUGGAAAACAUGGGCCUGAGAGAACUUUUAAAUAUGAAAUUAUAACUCUUUGCCCACUGAGAUUCUUAUUUUUAAAAACCCAGAGGAAGAUUAUAUUAAUAUAUUUACUUAAUAUUUAUGUGCAAUCUUUACAUUUACAAAAUGCUUUAUAGUGUAACAGAAUGGGCAGAAAUUUUUGUUUGGGGAUAUAAUUGUCUUUUCUUUCAUAUUCAUUUAUUCCUUUGAUUUGUAUAAUAUGUUCUCCACUUGGUCUUCUGAGAUCAUGUACAAUGGUAACAAAUUUUAAAUAAGAUUAAUAAAAGAUUAUUUUGUAUCACUAAUAGGGAAAGCUGACUAGGGCCAUGCCUGUCUCCGUUCUUUAUAAAUGGUAUGCAAAAGAGUAUAAUGCCAUCCCCAGAAUACUGUCUAUAACACCAGAUGUGCUUAUUCAUGGUGCUUUAAAAAUAUAUUGAGCUCCUAUUCCUCAUUUAUUCUGUGGUAUUCACUUUCUGCCCUUCAGGUGGUUGAGGAUCUCACCAGUUUGGAUGACGAAAUAACUUUGGUGAGCAUCAUAUCAAGUAGCCAUGCUAUGCCCUUCUUUCAUUGAUCAUCAAGCAAGAAUCCUCAGCAGAGCUUUCUUCCUGACAGUUCCCUCCGCCUGGAAAUCUUUUCCCAGAUGGUCACAUAACUGCUGUGUUCAGUUUCCUCUGGCCUGAAAUCAAGAGGCACCUUCUCCAAGAGGCCUGCCCCAACCCCAGAUCCCAAAGAACCCCUUAUCUGAGGUGUAUCCUGGCAUCUCUUUUAUUUUCUCUUUAGCACAUAGUACUUUGUGUUAAGAACCCUAGAGUUCCAGGGUUUGGUGAGAAUAGAUUUUAAAAAUAUGUCGAUAGGCCAAUAUUGUGUCAUUUUUCAAUUGCCACCAUCUGCUUUAAGAUGAAUCUUUUAAGGAAUCUCCGUAGCGUAAAGUAUUCUGAGGGCUUACGAUACAUUCCCUGUCUUUUUAAGGACCCAGGUCAUUACUGAGGAUGACAUACAAAUAUGAGGCUGGGUCAAAUGCCUAUAUGUGGUCAACUUACAAGGUUCUAAAUAACUUGUAUGUGUAAUCAGCAGAUUAAAAGUUAUUCUC